CACGUAGGGGGCGAGCGUUGUCCGGAUUUAUUGGGCGUAAAGCGCGCGUAGGCGGCCUUGUAAGUCCGUUGUGAAAGUCAAAGGCUCAACCUUUGAAAGCCGAUGGAUACUGUGAGGCUAGAGUCCGGAAGAGGCGAGUGGAAUUCCUGGUGUAGCGGUGGAAUGCGCAGAUAUCUGGAAGGAACACCGGUGGCGAAAGCGGCCUCCUGGACCCGAUACCUGACGCUCAUGGACGAAGCGUGGGGAGCAAACAGGAUUGAAGA
rnacentral:rRNA from 1 species